rnacentral:rRNA from 1 species
AGUAGCUAUGUUCGGCAGGAAUAACCGCUGAAAGCAUAUAAGUGGGAAAUCCUUCUGAAGAUAAGAUCUCCCUGGGGGCAACCCCCUGAAGAGCCCGGGAAGAUGACCCGGUUGAUAGGUCAUAGAUGUAAGUGUGGUAACACAUUGAGUCGAGUGAUACUAAUAGCUCGUGAGGCUUGACCAUAUUAC